rnacentral:rRNA from 1 species
CCGUAGGCGGCCCUCUUUCUCCUUCUUUCCUGGUCUUCCCUUUCGUUCCUUCUUUUGUCUCCUUUCGUUGUUAAAGCGCCCAGGCUUAACCGGGCGAGGACAAUGAAGACUGGUCAGCUAGAGGACGGUAGAGGGGUGUGGAAUUCCGGGUGUAGUGGUGAAAUGCGUAGAGAUCCGGAGGAACACCAGUGGCGAAAGCGAUUUUCUGGAUCGUUUCUGACGCUCAGACGCGAAAGCUAGGGUAGCAAACGG